rnacentral:rRNA from 1 species
UGGGGAAUAUUGGACAAUGGGCGAAAGCCUGACCCAGCCAUGCCGCGUGAGUGACGAAGGCCUUAGGGUUGUAAAGCUCUUUUGGCGGGGACGCGGUACCCGCAGAAUAAGCCCCGGCUAACUUCGUGCCAGCAGCCGCGGUAAUACGAAGGGGGCUAGCGUUGUUCGGAAUCACUGGGCGUAAAGCGCACGUAGGCGGACUUUCAAGUCAGGGGUGAAAUCCCGGGGCUCAACCUCGGAACUGCCUUUGAUACUGUUGGUCUCGAGUCCGAUAGAGGUGGGUGGAAUUCCUAGUGUAGAGGUGAAAUUCGUAGAUAUUAGGAAGAACACCGGUGGCGAAGGCGGCCCACUGGAUCGGUACUGACGCUGAGGUGCGAAAGCGUGGGGAGCAAACAGGAUUAGAUACCCUAGUAGU